rnacentral:rRNA from 1 species
UUCGGCAAUGGGCGAAAGCCUGACCGAGCGACGCCGCGUGCGGGACGAAGGCCGUUUGGUUGUAAACCGCUGUCAGGGGGGAGGCAAAUGUCGGUCCUCAGGGCCGGCUUGACCUAUCCCCAGAGGAAGGACGGGCUAAGUCCGUGCCAGCAGCCGCGGUAAGACGGACCGUCCGAACGUUACUCGGAAUUACUGGGCUUAAAGGGUGCGUAGGCGGCCUCGCAAGUCGGGUGUGAAAUCCCUCGGCUCAACCGAGGAAUUGCGCUCGAUACUGCGGGGCUCGAGGGAGAUAGAGGUGAGCGGAACUUGCGGUGGAGCGGUGAAAUGCGUUGAUAUCGCAAGGAACACCGGAGGCGAAAGCGGCUCACUGGGUCUCUCCUGACGCUGAGGCACGAAAGCUAGGGGAGCGAACGGGAUUAGAUACCCCGGUAGUCCUAGCCCUAAACGAUGAGCACUAGACCGAGGAACUCUCCAUGGUUUCUUGGUCGUAGGGAAACCGUUAAGUGCUCCGCCUGGGAGUAUGGUCGCUAGGCUUGAACUCAAAGGAAUUGUACCGGGGGCUCACACAAGCGGCUGGAGGAUGUGGCUUUAAUUCGAGGCUACGCGAAAAACCUUAUCCCGGUCUUGACAUGCACGGAUUAACCCCGUGCAAAGCGGGGCCACGCCUCUCUGAGGUGGAACGUGCACAGGUGCUGCAUGGCUGUCGUCAGCUCGUGUCGUGAGAUGUCGAGUUAAGUCCCUUAACGAGCGAAACCCCUGUCGCUAGUUGCCAGCGGGUCAUGCCGGGCACUCUAGCGAGACUGCCGGUGUUAAACCGGAGGAAGGUGGGGAUGACGUCAAGUCCUCAUGGCCCUUAUGACCGGGGCUGCACACGUCCUACAAUGGCGCGUACAAAGGGAAGCAAACCCGCGAGGGGGAGCAAAUCCCAAAAAGCGCGCCCCAGUUCAGAUUGCAGGCUGCAACCCGCCUGCAUGAAGCCGGAAUCGCUAGUAAUCGCGGAUCAGCAUGCCGCGGUGAAUGUGUUCCUGAGCCUUGUACACACCGCCCGUCAAGCCACGAAAGUGGGGGACAUCCGAAGUCGCCGGGCUAACCCGAAAGGGAGGCAGGUGCCGAAGAUG